GUUGUUGUGGCCGAGUGGUUAAGGCGAUGGACUUGAAAUCCAUUGGGGUCUCCCCGCGUAGGUUCAAAUGAAUGCCAACAGCG
rnacentral:tRNA from 1 species